rnacentral:rRNA from 1 species
AGUGAACGCUGGCGGUAGGCCUAACACAUGCAAGUCGAACGGCAGCACAGUAAGAGCUUGCUCUUACGGGUGGCGAGUGGCGGACGGGUGAGGAUACAUCGGAAUCUACUUUUUCGUGGGGGAUAACGUAGGGAAACUUACGCUAAUACCGCAUACGACCUACGGGUGAAAGCAGGGGAUCUUCGGACCUUGCGCGAUUGAAUGAGCCGAUGUCGGAUUAGCUAGUUGGCGGGGUAAAGGCCCACCAAGUCGACGAUCCGUAGCUGGUCUGAGAGGAUGAUCAGCCACACUGGAACUGAGACACGGUCCAGACUCCUACGGGAGGCAGCAGUGGGGAAUAUUGGACAAUGGGCGCAAGCCUGAUCCAGCCAUACCGCGUGGGUGAAGAAGGCCUUCGGGUUGUAAAGCCCUUUUGUUGGGAAAGAAAAGCAGCAGGUUAAUACCCCGCUGUUCUGACGGUACCCAAAGAAUAAGCACCGGCUAACUUCGUG